rnacentral:rRNA from 1 species
GACGAACGCUGGCGGCGUGCUUAACACAUGCAAGUCGUACGGUAAGGCCCUUUCGGGGGUACACGAGUGGCGAACGGGGGAGUAACACGUGAGUAACCUGCCCACAACUUUGGGAUAACGCUAGGAAACUGGUGCUAAUACUGGAUAUGUGCUCCUGCUGCAUGGUGGGGGUUGGAAAGCUCCGGCGGUUGUGGAUGGACUCGCGGCCUAUCAGCUUGUUGGUGGGGUAGUGGCCUACCAAGGCGGCGACGGGUAGCCGGCCUGAGAGGGUGACCGGCCACAUUGGGACUGAGAUACGGCCCAGACGCCUACGGGAGGCAGCAGUGGGGAAUAUUGCACAAUGGGCGCCAGCCUGAUGCAGCAACGCCGCGUGCGGGAUGACGGCCUUCGGGUUGUAAACCGCUUUCAGCAGGGACGAAGCUUUUUGUGACGGUACCUGCAGAAGAAGCACCGGCUAACUACGUG